rnacentral:rRNA from 1 species
GAUGAACGCUGGCGGCGUGCUUAACACAUGCAAGUCGAACGGAAAGGCUCCUGCUUGCAGGGGUACUCGAGUGGCGAACGGGUGAGUAACACGUGGGUGAUCUGCCCUGCACUUCGGGAUGAGCCUGGGAAACUGGGUCUAAUACCGGAUAGGACGAUGGUUUGGAUGCCAUUGUGGAAAGUUUUUCGGUGUGGGAUGAGCUCGCGGCCUAUCAGCUUGUUGGUGGGGUAAUGGCCUACCAAGGCGUCGACGGGUAGCCGGCCUGAGAGGGUGUACGGCCACAUUGGGACUGAGAUACGGCCCAGACUCCUACGGGAGGCAGCAGUGGGGAAUAUUGCACAAUGGGCGCAAGCCUGAUGCAGCGACGCCGCGUGGGGGAUGACGGCCUUCGGGUUGUAAACUCCUUUCGCUAGGGACGAAGCGCAAGUGACGGUACCUGGAGAAGAAGCACCGGCUAACUACGUG